GACGGAGGGGGCUAGCGUUGUUCGGAAUUACUGGGCGUAAAGGGUGCGUAGGCGGCCAAUUAAGUUAGAUGUGAAAGCCCAGAGCUUAACUUUGGAAUUGCACCUAAUACUGGUUGGCUAGAGUUCGGUAGAGGAAAGUAGAAUUCCUAGUGUAGAGGUGAAAUUCGUAGAUAUUAGGAAGAAUACCAGAGGCGAAGGCGGCUUUCUGGACCGAUACUGACGCUGAGGCACGAAAGCGUGGGGAGCAAACAGG
rnacentral:rRNA from 1 species